rnacentral:lncRNA from 1 species
CUGACAUUCAAUAACUUUGCUGCUUAAACAAUAAAAUUACACAAUAAUUCACAUUUUAUCAUUUAUUUUUAAAGCAUAAGAGAACUAGAUAUCUAAAAUCCAAAAGAAUGUAAUUAGAUAUCGGAUAGCUACUAAAUCCAGUACAAGAUGUUGAGAUCUCCAUCAAAUUCCCCUAAAUCUGCCUACACGAAUGACACACACUCAGAAUAUUUGACAAGUCUCACUAUCCAAUCAAGACACGAAAAAGCAACUACCAUUCACUCCUUCGUUGGACAAAGGUCUCCACACGAUCAUCUGACUUUAUUAAGGACCAGGAGUUCCCAUAAAGCACUUAGCUAAAGCAUCAUCCAUACGAUUUAUUCAAUUUUUCAAUGCAAAAUAAUAUAAUAUCAUUAUGUCACAACAUUCAGCAAACUCACAGCCGUGGUUAUCAAUUGACACUGCACCUCAUCAACUAUCAGAACGGGAUUACAAUUAAAUUGUAAUUAAAGUUACAUCAGCACUCCGUUGUGAUGAUCAAUCAAAAGCCAGAUUGAACAGCUAGAAAUAUAAUUCCAAGAACUUCCAGAGUUGACAAAUCUUGAUGAGAGCUCAACAAUAAUUAAGCACUUACUUCCACUUGGUUUGCUCUUUCUUCAGGGAUCAAUGAACCAGAUCCAUCUUUUUUAUUAGCAGCUUCA